GAUGAACGCUGGCGGCGUGCCUAAUACAUGCAAGUCGAGCGAACGGACGAGAAGCUUGCUUCUCUGAUGUUAGCGGCGGACGGGUGAGUAACACGUGGAUAACCUACCUAUAAGACUGGGAUAACUUCGGGAAACCGGAGCUAAUACCGGAUAAUAUUUUGAACCGCAUGGUUCAAAAGUGAAAGACGGUCUUGCUGUCACUUAUAGAUGGAUCCGCGCUGCAUUAGCUAGUUGGUAAGGUAACGGCUUACCAAGGCAACGAUGCAUAGCCGACCUGAGAGGGUGGUUGGCCACACUGGAACUGAGACACGGUCCAGACUCCUACGGGAGGCAGCAGUAGGGAAUCUUACGCAAUGGGCGAAAGCCUGACGGAGCAACGCCGCGUGAGUGAUGAAGGUCUUCGGAUCGUAAAACUCUGUUAUUAGGGAAGAACAUAUGUGUAAGUAACUGUGCACAUCUUGACGGUACCUAAUCAGAAAGCCACGGCUAACUACGUG
rnacentral:rRNA from 1 species